CCUCGCCAGAAUAGUCGAAGCCGUGAUUCAAACUUUGAAACUUUUGAAAAACACGCGCACUAUCGCACUAGCUGCAGCGAGCCAAUGAGCGCGGUCCGGUCACUUCACUUGCGUGCUGCUGCUGCGCUGUAGACGUAGAGUUAGUCAUUAUCACUAGUCAGCCGAGCCGACCGGAGCAUGCGGAGACGCCGGCAAACCGCGCGAGUGCUAAAGAAAAGCCGUUGGAUGUCGGCUCGUCAAAUUUUGCCCAUUUUCGGCCGAAUUUUCGCCCUCGAGUCGACCAGCAAGAAGCCAAGGAUGCAGAACAAGCUGUUUUAUCCGCAAAUAACCCCAGACCCGUGCCCGCGGCUUGCGCGACAACAAUGCAACUCGUGUUAUAUGCUGCUUAGCGGAUGAUGCUAACGCCCUGAAUCUUGCGACCCCUGGCCCUGGCAUUGUGAUAAUUAUGUAUUUUCUGGGGUCCGAAGGAGGUGACAUGCAAGGAGUCCAACCCGCCAAACCCUCGCUCCCUAACCUG